rnacentral:rRNA from 1 species
AGUGAACGCUGGCGGUAGGCCUAACACAUGCAAGUCGAACGGCAGCACAGUAAGAGCUUGCUCUUACGGGUGGCGAGUGGCGGACGGGUGAGGAAUACAUCGGAAUCUACUUUUUCGUGGGGGAUAACGUAGGGAAACUUACGCUAAUACCGCAUACGGCCUACGGGUGAAAGCAGGGGAUCUUCGGACCUUGCGCGAUUGAAUGAGCCGAUGUCGGAUUAGCUAGUUGGCGGGGUAAAGGCCCACCAAGGCGACGAUCCGUAGCUGGUCUGAGAGGAUGAUCAGCCACACUGGAACUGAGACACGGUCCAGACUCCUACGGGAGGCGGCAGUGGGGAAUAUUGGACAAUGGGCGCAAGCCUGAUCCAGCCAUACCGCGUGGGUGAAGAAGGCCUUCGGGUUGUAAAGCCCUUUUGUUGGGAAAGAAAAGCAGCAGGUUAAUACCCCGCUGUUCUGACGGUACCCAAAGAAUAAGCACCGGCUAACUUCGUG